UUCAUGUAAUAAUUCUCAAAAGUAGUUUUGCAAUAUGGCCGCUACAAACAUUGACAAAAAGGUGAAGGAUCAUCACAAAAAAUCAUCUUUUUGUGAGUCAAGAGCAAAAUAUAGAGAAGCUCGUUGGAAAAGAGCUGUUAAAGUGUAUACAGUCAACUUAGAAUCAAAGUUCUUACUUGUUCAUGGAGUUCCAGCAUUAAACUUGACAAAGGACCUUUUGGAAAUGUUUGCUCUGUAUGGUGUUAUUGAUGAAUACAGAAUUUUGGAUGAUUGUCCAUCUGAGGAUUUUACUAAAGAUUAUUGGAUCAAAUACAAACAUAUCAUGGCCGCCAGACAGGCGAAAAGAAAAAAUAAUCGAUUUUUGGUGGAAUUCUUCAUGUGUGUUAUGACCAGAAUUUGAGUGUUGAAGAGACUGAGAUGAUGGAUCGAUAUUAUAGAGAAAGAUUACCAUUGCAGAUUCUCGAGGACAUUCAAAGACUAUGCGGGUGAUCAACAAUGAACAAUUGUCACAGGAGCACGUUGAUCCGAUUCCAGACACCCUUUCUAAAGUCACUAGCAGUUCAAAUUCUGAGGCCCUUACAUCGUCUUUGUCAUGUCAAUCAUUGAUAUGUAAAAUGCUAAAUCAACACAAAAACCUAUCAGGAAACAAGUGAAUCACCAUAUGUUCCUAAUCCUCAAAAUUUACCCCCGCUUUCUGUUUGCACAUAUCCCUCUCAGGUUCCUACAAUGUCUGUAUCGCUAAACACGGAAGCAGUCAAAUCAUUCUUAAACAGUACAACGUCUUAUGGUUUGUAUGCAUGUUUUCCUGAAAAACCAAGGCAUCAGGUAGAUGAAAAAUCCUCUGAAACGAACGAUGUUCAAGAGUCUUUGGUAAGUGUGGUGAUUUUUUCUUGUCACAUUUUAGGAGAUGUUUUUUUAAUCAACAUUGAUCUCUCUCUGUGAAUUAAGAGCAUCGAAAAUUGUCUAACUUGAGGUAUUUUCGGUUAAAUUAGCAAAACAAUAAAUUACAUAGCACUUGAAGUACUUAAUUCAUUCGAUUUUUAGUAUUUUUGCAAAAUGUUCAUUAUUACAUUUUGUGAUACUUACGUACGUUUUUUUUAGACUGGUAACGCUUCAAUGGAUCACACAGUUGAAUCAAUUCGAGGAAAGCUCAAUGCUGGUUUUGCAUAGCCGUGUAAGUUUAACGAUAUGAUACUUCGCUUUGGUCGCUCUGUUUCAGAGAUACAGAAAAGAUCUACCAGCGAAACUGGAUUAUCAAGCCAUAAAAAGAAAAAAAGGAAACGAAUUUAGUGUUAAGUCGUGAAGCACCGGAGCAUUGAAUCAAAUUUAAGGCAAGUUAAACUUACAACUUUAUUUCAACAGAUGUGUACCAAUGAUGUACAAACACAGCACAAGUGCUUACAGCCCAGACGAACUAAACAUAUUAAUAUCCCAUAGUCCCCUUUUGUUUUGUACGCAAUAUCUUUAUGGCAAAGUCGGAAAGUCCAAACAAAGAAUAAGAAAAAAUUACAUAAAUUCUAUGCUGGUCAUUCAAAAAUAUUCAGUUUGUAAAAUAUAUCUUCUCAAGCGGUGUCUGCAAGAGUUGUUGCGUAGUUAUAGGUGUGAGUUUAUCCAAAAUAUUCAUAUUACAUUUGUUUCCAGAGUACUCGACCGUGUUUGUUCUUCGUUUUUCAUCAAGGACCCACUAACAUUUGGCAAGUCUGUCUCAUCUUUAUUGGUCUUUUUCCCAGGAGAACAUAUAGAAAAAACUUUGCACCAUUUUUUCCAGACAUGGCGAGUGUCUUUGUUAAAGAAUAACAAGAAAAAGUUGAUAAGACAAUAAAAUCCAGGGGCACAUAUCUGUACGCUGGACAGGAUGAAUAUCUGACUUUCAGGCAUUUUACAUCGUUUGCCAUGUUUCUAAAAACAAAACAGAAUAAAGCUCAGUAUAAUCGUGAACAAACAACAUGAUCACAUCGCCUUCCUGUUGUCACCUUGAGGCAUGCGAAGUAUUCAGAAAAAUUGUGUAGAUAGUCUUCAUUUCUGUUCAAUAGCACAACUUGAGAACAUAAAACAACAAUGAUUGUAACAAUGAACAAGAGAGCAAGUUUCGUGAACUGACAUUCUGCAUUAAUGAAUCCUUUGAUAUCUUCACCAGAUCGGAUUGCUUGCGUUGAUGCGUUAUUCUUUCGUACCUGAGUGAAAAAGAUUUAGCGCAAAUGUAGAGCAGUUCACCCGUGAAAAGUUGUGAAAUUAACUAGUACGUACAACUACAAAUAGUACAAUACGCGUUCCUGCAAUAGGAAUUUUUACCAAAUUAAACUUUUUACCGCCACAAGGCAUGAAAAA